GACGAACGCUGGCGGCGUGCUUAACACAUGCAAGUCGAACGGAAAGGCCCUGCUUUUGUGGGGUGCUCGAGUGGCGAACGGGUGAGUAACACGUGAGUAACCUGCCCUUGACUUUGGGAUAACUUCAGGAAACUGGGGCUAAUACCGGAUAGGAGCUCCUGCUGCAUGGUGGGGGUUGGAAAGUUUCGGCGGUUGGGGAUGGACUCGCGGCUUAUCAGCUUGUUGGUGGGGUAGUGGCUUACCAAGGCUUUGACGGGUAGCCGGCCUGAGAGGGUGACCGGCCACAUUGGGACUGGGGUACGGCCCAGACUCCUACGGGAGGCAGCAGUGGGGAAUAUUGCACAAUGGGCGGAGGCCGGAUGCAGCAACGCCGCGUGCGGGAUGACGGCCUUCGGGUUGUAAACCGCUUUCGCCUGUGACGAAGCGUGAGUGACGGUAAUGGGUAAAGAAGCACCGGCAAACUACGU
rnacentral:rRNA from 1 species